rfam:Schistosoma curassoni strain Dakar, Senegal genome assembly, scaffold: SCTD_scaffold0000187
AUUCAGCCGACAAGUCCCAAAUAGGACGAAACGCUCAUCAAACUGGAU